CCCUAGCCCUGAUCGAAGCGGCAUCCUUUUUCUGGCUCCUUUAGCCAGGAAAAGAUGUAGCCGAGAGCAGGAAAUAGC
rfam:Flavobacterium plurextorum strain CCTG 60112 WGS0045_contig_5, whole genome shotgun sequence.